rnacentral:rRNA from 1 species
CCUACGGGGGGCUGCAGUGAGGAAUAUUGGUCAAUGGACGAGAGUCUGAACCAGCCAAGUAGCGUGAAGGAUGACUGCCCUAUGGGUUGUAAACUUCUUUUAUAAAGGAAUAAAACGAGGCACGUGUGCCUUUUUGCAUGUACUUUAUGAAUAAGGAUCGGCUAACUCCGUGCCAGCAGCCGCGGUAAUACGGAGGAUCCGAGCGUUAUCCGGAUUUAUUGGGUUUAAAGGGAGCGUAGAUGGGUUGUUAAGUCAGUUGUGAAAGUUUGCGGCUCAACCAUAAAAUUGCAAUUGAUACUGGCAGUCGUGAGUACAGUUGAGGUAGGCGGAAUUCGUGGUGUAGCGGUGAAAUGCUUAGAUAUCACGAAGAACCCCGAUUGCGAAGGCAGCUUACUAAACUGUGACUGACAUUGAUGCUCGAAAGUGUGGGUAUCAAACAGGAUUAGAUACCCCAGUAGUC